GGUCUGUCUGUCUCAACUUGCAGUAGGAAGAAGCCGGAAGUGGGCAACAUAUCUCUUUCUUACGUGCACACUGAAUCAGGCAGAAGCAGGAGUGUGUGGGUACAGUCUUUUUUUCUAAAGAAGGCUGCUCAUUUAGGAAGAAAAAGCCCUACUGGAAACAAUGAACCCAGAAUUAAAAGCAGAGAGGAGCUCAAAGCUGUAAUACCCUAGUAAUAAUUUUGGCACACCUUCCAUUCUAUGCCCAUCAUUAUCUGGGUAUUGCCAAGCUGUGGCACCAAGCAAAGCCCAGUAUGUGUGCCUUCCUGGAAUAUUUGCGAUACCACUUGACCUGCAAGGGUGCUAAUUGUUGUGAUUCAUGUUCCUCACCCCUUCCUUCUCUACUUAGCACCUUGCUUAAAUUGCUACAUCCCAGCCACAUGGUAGGCAACUGUGAGGCAACCCUAAAACUAAAAUAGUGCUUAUCUUCUAUUUAGUUUUAAUUAUUUGCCACAUUUAGUUUUGGUUAUUAUAAAGUAAUGAUAAAUGCAUAUAUCUAGUGCAUCACAAAUGUAUGUUUUGCUUGAGAUUUCUAGCUCACCCAAAGCAACAGCAGAGAUUGAGUUCUGAUUUCAUUUUGCAAGGGCCCCAUUUAAAGGUUCAAGAAUAUGGCUUAACUGUUCAUUGUUACCAGUUUGGAUGUGAGCAGAAAGACUGGAGAUUUUACACACACACACACACACACACACACACACACACCAUUUUGUAAAAGCAAAACAAAGCAAAAAAGAAAAAGAAAAGAGCUUGCUAUUGAUUAUACUUCUGGAUUAUUGCUUGCUUUUUAUUCUCCAGUCAAAGCACUAUCUGGCUUGUCAUUGUGCGUUGCCAGUCUAUUUCUCAACACACCUGGCUAUUGUGCAUCAUACUGUGUUCUAUUAAAUUGUAUUAAGUGUAGACAUUUUACAUCGCCUCCUGAUUCACUUGUUCACACUAAGCUAUGGUAUGGCUUAACAUUACAUGCAAACAAGGACACUAGUAUUUCUGUUCCCACCAGUAUCUAGGAGAACACUAAUCUUUGUAACUGUGAAUCUCUGAUUCACAGCAAAGGGGAUGAAAUUCAGCUCAGUUUGCAUUUUUAUUUCAACUUGCCUUAUUCACACUUCCUGAAACAGCGCACAAACCAAAACACAGUUGUUCUUCAAAAUCCACACUUCGUCCAAUUUGGCAAUGCCUUUCUGUACUCAGCACAUGUAUACUAGGAGAAAUGUGUGUAAAAAUGUAUUUUAAAGUGAAAAUAACACAAAAAUGCAUUCUAUUUGUGCUAACUGCUUGCAAAUCAAUCAAUCAAUCAAUCAAUCAGGAGCUGUGCCCUUUAAAAUGCUGAUCCUCCACCCCGAAAUCUUUAUAAAAAUUCACAAAGUGAUGCAGAAAUUUGAAGAGCUAAAUUUAAGAUUGGAAAAAUGAGCAACUGAGAGAAACAGAAGUUGACAGAUCCCUAGUUGGGACGGAGCUUUGCGUCACAGAGAUCAGUUGAAAUCCUAAAAUAUUUACCUAAAAUGAUCACAUCCACACCAUACAUUUAAAACACAUUUACAGCACACAGUUUCUCCCAAAGAAUCCUGUAACAAAUCAUUCAAAAACUAUAGGUCCCAGGAUUCUUUGUGGGGUGUCACAUGCUUCAAAUGUGCUUUAAAAGAGAUUAGCCUUAAAGCUACACAGUUUUUGAUGUUCUUAAGGCUUUUCACUUCCAGCACCCUUAACUUCAGGCUGGGUUGCAGCCAUUAUCCUACUUCCUCAGACAAAUGAAUACAUAGAGUGAGGUGGUUGGGGGGGAGAGAGAAUGUGAACUUAGGUAAAAUCUACUACUACUACUGAUUUCUUUUAAAAUCACAUGUUUAAUGUGGGUGGGGUUUUUUGUAUUCUUAAACUGGUUUCACACUCUUGAACCCUGUCAAGAAGUGCCUCAGAAUCCUGGAUGCUAUCCAAAGGACCGUAGUUUGAGCAACAAUGAAUAUUCUUUAGUUUAUAUUUGCAGAUAUUAGGAUGAAGGGUUACACACACACACAUAUUUACAUGGGAUUACUCAAUUUGUUGACCAAUCUUCUCUUGCGUUUUGUGUAUGCUUAGGAGUCAUGGUGUGGUCAGCAUAAGCAAAUACUUGGAGCGGAUUUGCAACACACUUUUCUCAAAGCCCUGUUGAGCUUAAUGUUUUGUUUAAUGCCAAAGAGGAAGUAGAAAUAUAUUUUUCCCCCAUUUCACUAGCAGGUGCUCUGUAAUUGUAGCUUAUAAAUAUUUUAUCAGCGUAAAGUCUAAGGGAAAGUCCCACUCUGGCCCACUCUGAAGAAGAGCAACAUGAUUCAUGUUGAACAUGAGCAUCACUCUCCACCACCACCUGUAUAUUGCACACAUAGUUGAAAGUUUGUUACUAAACAUCUUGAUAAAGCAGAAUACAUGCCUCAACAUUGCAAGUCAUUUUUCCCAACUAAAACACUCACUUGCACCACAUGCUUGUGUGAAGUGUUCCAUUCCAUUUCCCAGAAUGCUUCUUAAAUCCUCUGAAAAUAGAAUAAUGGUAACCAUGGAGGAUUCUAGCAAUCAACGUGAUAUAAAAUGACCAUGGCCAGACAACCAGUAAAGCUUAAGAAAUGUGUAUCUCAUCUGGGCCAAAUAUAAUGAGUAGUGGUUUGUGAAUUUAAAAUGUGACUAUUAAAAGUAAACAAUUUCAUUUUUAUUCCAAGGUUGCAUGGAACUGGAUCAAUUCACUCACUGGAUCAAUAUGGACUCAUAUCCAGGACCAUCCCACUGGCAUCAGAUUCUGCACCUGUCCCUUCAAAGCCUGAGGAUGCACCUUUGCAUGUGAAUAAUCAACUAUUGAUGCCUCUGAGGGUCAAGAAAGCCUUGUGGAGUCUCCACAAACCAAGUCCUCAUAGCCCAGUCUCACCACCUAGGAGCUAACAGCUGCACCAAAGGACUUUGGCCCUUUAACUGGCAUGUUGCAGCACACAGAAAGCAGGAUUUCAUUCAUGAUCCUUCGGGUCAGGCUAUAAAGGUAGCGCUGAGGCAGCUCAUUCCUUCUGCUCUCCAUCACAGAAAUGUUGCUUAACUGCUUACCCUUGUUCCUGUCCAGGGUCCUGACCUCACCCUAGCAUGAAGCUGGCUCAGGAAGUCCUUCUUUCCACCAUAUUCCUCGGGCCUUUGCCUCAGCUUGGAAAAAUAAUCUAAGCUCGUCCAAUUGUGAGUCGGGGAAGACUUCAAGCAAUGGGAGACCUUUGUGCAAGUUGCCUUUGUGUGUCAUGUACUGCAGGAGAGCUAAGCUGAAUUAUAUAUGUAUGGUUGGCAUAAUUUACGUAGUACUUUUGCUGCAAACUUCCUUCACUUUAUCCCACCAAUCCUCAGUUUCCUCUUCUUCCACCUUCCCUUUUCCUGUAAAUUUCCCCUGAAGUAUCUUUAUUGUAAUUUCUGUAGUCAUAUACUGCAUCAUAUGUUGCUUAUAUAUAGGUAAUACCAUAUACAAUUUGGG
rnacentral:lncRNA from 1 species